rnacentral:sRNA from 1 species
GCCAGGCACAGUGGUGCAAGCCUGUAAUCCCAGCAACUUGGGAGGCUGAGGCAGGAGGAUCUUGUUCAAAGCCAGCCUCUG